GGCCUCGUAGCUCAGGGGACAGAGCAGCGGCUUUCUAAUUCGCGGGGACGGAAGUUCGAAUCUUCCCGAGGGCGCCA
rnacentral:tRNA from 1 species